rnacentral:rRNA from 1 species
GGUCCGAGUUGUAAUUUGUAGAGGAUGCUUUUGGUGAGGUGCCUUCCGAGUUCCCUGGAACGGGACGCCGGAGAGGGUGAGAGCCCCGUACGGUUGGACGCCAAACCUCUGUAUAGCUCCUUCGACGAGUCGAGUAGUUUGGGAAUGCUGCUCUAAAUGGGAGGUAAAUUUCUUCUAAAGCUAAAUACCGGCAGAGAGACCGAUAGGCGCACAAGUAAGAGUGAUCGAAAGAUGAAAAGCACUUUGAAAAGAGGGUUAAAUAGCACGUGAAAAUUGUUGAAAGGGAAGCGUUUGCGACCAGACUUUUUCCAGGCGGAUCAUCCCGGCGUUCUCGGCCGGUGCACUCCGCCUGGUUGAAGGCCAGCAUCGGUUUCCUUAGGGGGAUAAAGGCCUGGGGAACGUAGCUCCUUCGGGAGUGUUAUAGCCCCUGGCGUAAUACCCCUCGGGGGACCGAGGAACGCGCUCUGCAAGGAUGCUGGCGUAAUGGUCGUCAACGACCCGUCUUGAAACACGGACCAAGGAGUCGAACAUUUGUGCGAGUGUUUGGGUGUCAAACCCUCACGCGUAAUGAAAGUGAACGGAGGUGAGAGCCCUUACGGGUGCAUCAUCGACCGAUCCUGAUGUCUUCGGAUGGAUUUGAGUAAGAGCAUAACUGUUCGGACCCGAAAGAUGGUGAACUAUGCGUGGAUAGGGUGAAGCCAGAGGAAACUCUGGUGGAGGCUCGCAGCGGUUCUGACGUGCAAAUCGAUCGUCAAAUCUGCGCAUGGGGGCGAAAGACUUAUCGAACCAUCUAGUAGCUGGNUACCGCCGAAGUUUCCCUCAGGAUAGCAGUGUUGUCUUCAGUUUUAUGAGGNAAAGCGAAUGAUUAGGGACUCGGGGGCGCUAUAUUGCCUUCAUCCAUUCUCAAACUUUAAAUAUGUAA